rnacentral:rRNA from 1 species
CCUACGGGGCGCAGCAGUGGGGAAUAUUGGACAAUGGGCGAAAGCCCGAUCCAGCCAUGCCGCGUGUGUGAAGAAGGCCUUCGGGUUGUAAAGCACUUUCAGUGGGGAAGAAAGCCUUGGGGCUAAUACCCUCGAGGAAGGACAUCACCCACAGAAGAAGCACCGGCUAACUCCGUGCCAGCAGCCGCGGUAAUACGGAGGGUGCGAGCGUUAAUCGGAAUUACUGGGCGUAAAGCGCGCGUAGGCGGUCUGAUAAGCCGGUUGUGAAAGCCCCGGGCUCAACCUGGGAACGGCAUCCGGAACUGUCAGGCUAGAGUGCAGGAGAGGAAGGUAGAAUUCCCGGUGUAGCGGUGAAAUGCGUAGAGAUCGGGAGGAAUACCAGUGGCGAAGGCGGCCUUCUGGACUGACACUGACGCUGAGGUGCGAAAGCGUGGGUAGCAAACAGGAUUAGAUACCCGGGGUAGUC